AUUGAACGCUGGCGGCAGGCCUAAUACAUGCAAGUCGAGCGGAUGAAGGGAGCUUGCUCAUGGAUUCAGCGGCGGACGGGCGAGUAAUGCCUAGGAAUCUGACCGGCAGUGGGGGAUAACGUAAGGAAACGGGCGCUAAUACCGCAUCCGUUCAGAGGGUGAAAGUGAGGGUUCUUCGGACCUAAAGCUAUUAGCUGAGCCUAGGUCGGAUUAGCUAGUUGGUGGGGUAAAGGCCUACCAAGGCGACGAUCCGUAACUGGUCUGAGAGGAUGAUCAGUCACACUGGAACGAGGACACGGUCCAGACUCCUACGGGAGGCAGCAGUGGGGAAUAUUGGACAAUGGGCGAAAGCCUGAUCCAGCCAUGCCGCGUGUGUGAAGAAGGUCUUCGGAUGGUAAAGCACGUUAAGUUGGGAGGAAGGGCAGUAAGUUAAUACCUUGCUGUUGUGACGUUACCAACAGAGUAAGCACCGGCUAACUACGUG
rnacentral:rRNA from 1 species